rnacentral:rRNA from 1 species
CGUGUAGGCGGUUUGGUAAGUCAGAUGUGAAAGCCCUGGGCUCAACCCAGGAAGUGCAUUUGAAACUACCCAACUUGAGUACGGGAGAGGAAGGGGGAAUUCCCGGUGUAGAGGUGAAAUUCGUAGAUAUCGGGAGGAAUACCGGUGGCGAAGGCGCCCUUCUGGACUGAUACUGACGCUGAGACGCGAAAGCGUGGGGAGCAAACA